GUGAAACAAAGUGUAGUGUCCGCGAGAGCCCGUAGGAAGCGAAAAGAGAGAAACCGGAGAAAGGAGAGAAUGGAGCGGCUGAAUCCACAACAACAGGAGGAAUAAUAACCCACGAAAAAAAAGAGAGAAUUAAAGAAGACUGAAGACGGAGGAGAAGAGGGAGAGAACUCGCAGGAAAGAACUUUUUCCGGGGGGAGAAAACUGUUAUAGACUCAAACGCGGCCACGUUUUAAAACAUGGAUACACUUUUCUCCGUAUUCCUGGGACUCCUGUUUCUCCUUUCGGCAGUUGGUAACGUCUCCGGCCAGAUACCGACAGCUCACAUGGGGCGCGCUGAGAAGGGUGAGUUACGAGUGGCCGGCCAAGAGCUGAGCUUCAUCCGUCAUCGUCACCAUCAUCGUCAUCGUCAUCGUCAUUAGUGUUGUCAUCGUAAACCCACAGUCUUCACAUUAACUGUCACCUGAAGUUCUUUUCGAUGUGUAGACGUCCUUUUGAAGUGAUCUAAUUGUUUCCUCAUCCACAAUCAUCCCGCCUUCCACCGACCAUCCCACUUAGACUUCAUGCUCAUAGUAAUAUUCUAAAAGACGGUGUACAAACACCUUUAUAAUCCAGUAUUAAAGUGCAGUUUGCAGAGAUUUUUAGACUGUAGGACCAUGAACUAUUUGGUUCUUGCUGGAACCAUUUGAUGAAAUGUCAAAAUGGUUUCAGUGCCUCUCAGACGUUUGUCUGCAGCUAUUCGCUCCCUGGGAGUCAUUUUGACCAAGUUGCUUCUAAUCGAUGAAACCUUUGAAGCGCUCUUGCACUGGUUUGCAGUUGUCUGUCUUUGUGAGCCUGCCGACCUGUCUGUCUGGUAAUCUACGUGCCAUUUGUCGGUGGGUCUCCCCUGCUGUGUUCGUCUGUCUCUGUCUGUCUUUGUAUAGUCAGACAGCUGCCGGGAGGUUUGAAGUUUCCAGGUGCUGUUUGUUCAGUCGAGCCUGGUCUUUAAUAAAAAGGGAGCUCUGAGUAACUUUGUUCCUGCAGCAUCCGACCACACACUUCUUCUUCUAACUGUCCACUUCGGCAACGACACACCCGCUCAUUCUGUCUCACACGUAUCCUCUGUCUCCCCCCCCCCCCUCUCUUGUCUUUCUCACUUUCCCACAAACACUCACAGUGGACGGUUGUUAAUGAGGGAGUUGUUUUUUGGUCGGUUGGUAAAAUACUCCGCAGUCACUUCACACUGCAGGGUCUCACAGAGACAUCACUGUGGAGCUGUGGAGUUUUGGUAUCCCACAAGGCCUUGCUGUGUGACAGAAUCAAAGCAAAUAUAAUGUUGUUUACGUGUCUAUUUACAAAAAAAUCAAAGGCAAAUAAAUCCACAGUGAAGGUCACAUUCUGGUUAAUCCUCAAAAACGGAGAAAUAAGCUUUGAUUUCUUGUAUGAGUGUGGGAGUCAAACACAGGAUAUGCUCCAAAACCCAAAUGAUUUAAUACAAAAAUAAUAGAGACCUAAUGAAAGCCCAGCGAGGCAGAAAUGCUGUCGGUUCAUAUUAAGCAGGACAGGUUCUUGAAAAGGGGAUUUGGCAGGUUCUACAUCUGCUCUCACUAAUCUCACUAGAUCACACUCGACUGAGAGUUCUUACCUGAUAGUUUGUAGAUGAGGUAGAAAUUAAUAAAGCUGUAGUUUUUUAAAGAAUAGGUGUCAUUUGAAGUUGAUUUGGUUUAUUAGCUGUGUAUUUGCUACAUAUCUCCAUUCAUUCAAAAUCUAAUUUAAAGCAAGUUCUGUCAUUUUAUUUUCCUAUUGUGAAUAACUCACAACUCCAAAGACUUAACAUCCUCCACAUCCAGUCAAGUUUUCAAUUUCCCAUCUGCAGUAAAUCUCCAGUUUUCCUAUUCUAACUGAACUGUGUCCCACAUGUUCGGCAACUGUUUGAUGAUGCUAUGGUCGGGACAUUCUUGUGACUCAGUUGGUUAAAGUGUAACCAGGCGUCCUCGCUUGAAUCUGUUUCAUACCCUCUCUUGUCUUCCUCGUCUAUGAACUACACAACACGUGACAAGAUGCCCCAAAAUAAUCUUCGUGGAGUAUUUCAAUGGGAAGUAUGACUUUUUAGGGGCAUGUGCCUUUAAAGUGUCCUUGCUGUGGCUAUUUUUGUCACCCUCAAAGCUCCUAAA